rnacentral:rRNA from 1 species
GGUGAGUACUGCUUCGGCCGGGUCUUUCCUUCUGGCUAGCCAUUUGGCGAACCAGACGAUACUUUGAGGAAAUUAGAGUGUUCAAAGCAGCCUUUGCUCGGAUAUAUUAGCAUGGAAUAUAGAUAGACGUAUGGUUCUAUUUUGUUGGUUUCUAGGACCAUCGUAAUGAUCAUAGGGACGGUCGGGGGCAUCAGUAUUCAGUGUCAGAGGUGAAAUUCUUGGAUUAACUGAAGACUAACUACUGCGAAAGCAUUUGCCAAGGACGUUUUCAUUAAUCAAGAACGAAAGUUAGGGGAUCGAAGAUGAUCAGAUACCGUCGUAGUCUUAACCAUAAACUAUGCCGACUAGGGAUCGGGUGGCGCUAUUUUGCCCACUCGGCACCUUACGAGAAAUCAAAGUUUUUGGGUUCUGGGGGGAGUAUGGUCGCAAGGCUGAAACUUAAAGGAAUUGACGGAAGGGCACCACCAGGAGUGGAGCCUGCGGCUUAAUUUGACUCAACACGGGGAAACUCACCAGGUCCAGACGUAAUAAGGAUUGACAAGUUAGAGACUUCUCUUGAUCUUACGGGUGGUGGUGCAUGGCCGUUUUUAGUCCUUGGAGUGAUUUGUCUGCUUAAUUGCGAUAACGGACGAGACCUUAACCUGCUAAAUAGGGCUGCGAGCAUCUGCUCGUGGGCUCUUCUUAGAGGGACUAUGGG